AGGGUGAUCCUGGUGAAAAGGGUGAACAGGGUAUCCCAGGAUUGCCAGGCUCAGGUUUCAAAGGGGACAAGGGUGAACCUGGGAAACCUGGUCCACGUGGAAAGCCUGGAAAAGAUGGUGAACCAGGACCAAAAGGAGAACCCGGCUUGCCUGGCGGGUUUGGGAUUCCUGGACGACCCGGUGAACCUGGUCUUAAGGUGUGUGG